rnacentral:lncRNA from 1 species
UACCACAGUUGGGACAAGGGCCCUAGAAAAUGAAGCAAUGGUUCACUAAUAUGUCACUUUGGAAAUCAAAUAAAUGCUCAGACUCAGUAGUCUGCUUAUUAGAGGAUUAGGGGAAAAAAAAAACAUUGCAGAUUCUACCUUCAAGAUCAAAAAGUCUUUAACAAUUGCAUUUGUGAAAGAUUGAGAUAACCAAACUAUGAGGGGCACAGCAGCGAACCAUGUGAAGAUGAAGCUGAAUGGCUCUGGAAGCUGCAUGAGAAAAACAAUUACAAAAUCUAUGAAUGAAAAGGAAAAUGGAUACAACAAAGAUACAUAGUAUCCAAGAAGCUCCAAGUAAUGAUUGGCAAUCUGAACAAUAUUGUCCAUUGGUAAAUUCAGUAAGAUUAACCAACAUCAUUCAAUGAAAGGAAACAAGCAAUGAUGGUAGUUUACCUCCAAAAGAUAAGAUAUUUCAAAUCCAGUGAGAUCGUCCAAGAAGAAAAACCUGUUAGAACAAACACAAAUGAAAUUCAGACCUCAACAGUUCUAAUGAAACUACUGUUGAAAUGGUAAUGUUAACUUUGGUCAGGUGGCAGCUGUGUCACUAAAUAAGACUUGAUAGAGAACUAGCAAUUAGAAAGAAAGCUCCACAAGGACAUUUCAUAAGCCUUAAAAAUUCAAGUACUUACAAUCUAUAUUUGAGUGAAUGAAGGAAUAGUACUU